AUCACUUAAUAAAUCUUGAACUAGUCUUUAAUCGGAUUCAUAAAGGAAAUACAAACAGCCCAAUCACUUAUAAGGGCCUACUUAAAUGCAGCCCAAUCUGAAUUUAAUAGAGAAUCUCGGUCCAACAUGAAAAUAAUUCAAGGCCCAAAGGUUCAGCCCAUUUCCCCUCUCUACAAUUAACGGUUCCAAAUCAUUCUCUUUUCAAUUUCUCAAUAUCAAGCUCAACUCCCUCCCUUUGCAUAAGAAAUCGCCGCCGCCGCCGUUGAAGGAUCGGCGAGCGGUCGGUUCUAGCCUUCGUCUCCAGCGAAGCAGGCCUGUUGCCGCCUCUGAGGCCGACGCCGUCCCCUUCGUCUCCAGUCUCUCUUACUGAAACUCACCACGAAAUCCAGCCCUAGCUUCCCUCUGAACUCAGAUAGGAUGCCGCCGCUGCGGCCCUUCUCCGGCGAGACUGGCGUCCCGGCUGUUAGCGCCGCCAGCACACCUUCACCCCUAACUCCAUUCCUCUCUCUUUCCAUUCACCCCUCUCAAUUCUCUCACUCUUUUCCCCCAAAUCAAAAUUGAGCCCUAACUCUCCUUUUGGUUUAGGCGGGUUCGCCACCGCCGUUGCUAAAGGACCGGCUAGGCGGCGGUCCUCUCCUUCUCUCCCUUGUUCUCGAAAAUAGAUUCACGCUCAAGCCCUAGCCUUUUCUCAUCUCUCGGAAUUUAUCGCCGCCUCUGGCGGACGCCACCGCCCCUGAGCUUCUGACGAGGCUAUAGGCGUCAUCCCCUCCUCAGUUCUUUCCCCUUUCGAACUCAAGGGAUGGGUCUUCUUUCGCCGUCUUCUGGGUUCCGGCAGAGAAGGAUAGGCUCUGCUUUACUCAGAUUCCGGCGAGGCAGCAAGGUUCGACUGAACAGGAGGAACUUAGGAAGAAACUAUGACAACUUCCACAAGUUGUUGAUGCGUAAAGAGAGAAGGAUUUGGUGGGUGAUAUUAUAAGGAGUGAAGUUGGUGGUUGUUACUCUCAUGGGUUUGAAAGAUGGUGCAGGCAGCAUAGGGUAUGGUGGAAUGACCACCUACUUGUACUAUGGUAUGGUCUUGGUUAGACUAUCACAGUCGUGACACUCUUCCAACCCAACCUUACUCAACUUUUUAAUAAAAUAUUCAUUUCUCUAUCAUUCACCUACACAAUCCACAACCUAAUAUAAUUUUCACUCCCAAUGGUGAUACCAACUCAACCUACAUAUUUCUUCUUUUCACUUUAUUUUUAAUUAUCUAAUAUCUAAAAUAAAAUAUAAAUUAAAAUUAAAUAUUUAUUUAUUAUUUUUAACAAAAUAAAAUAAAUAUUUAUUUUAUUUUUUUAAAAUUUGUAAUCAUAUUAUAAUUAAACAUUGUCAUAUAUUAUAAUUGAUACUUAACUCAAUCAAAAAUGAAGAUUACAAGAAUUAAACACAUAACUAAAAUUAAAUAAAAUGUGAAACUUAAAAAUACAACUAGAAAAUGCAAAUCACAUAUUUAAUUGUCGAUGCCAAAAAAUUAUACAAAAAUUAAGUUCUAUUUAUAGAGCUGAAAAUAAUAUAAAUUUUAAUAUAACUUUAAUAUAUUUUUUAUAAAAAAAAGUUAUCAUAAAAAUUUAUCUAAAUAAAAUUUAAUCCACCAAUUAAAUAUUGACACAUGGCUUGUUGAGAAAAAAAAAGGGAGUAUGGCGUGACCCGGGCGGCAGAGGCACCCGGUCACCCAAAUUUGGUGACUUUUCAAUUAUUUUAAUAAAUUAAGGAUUUUGUCGUAUGCGGGUGAUUCUCAAUGAGAGUCACCGUUGGGAGUGGUCUUACAGGGGAAGGAAAGAAAAAAAAAAGCUUGCUUUUGUACUAUGCAUAUUUUUCUUUUGAUAUUGUGUACAUACCUAGUAAUGUAUAGAUUGAUAGUAAGUAGGGAAAAAAAAAUGUGAGGAGGCAAAUAAGGUCGUCAGUCUUGUAUCAAUCACGUAUCUAUAAAACUAACUUCGAAUCUCUCUAAUAUUGCUUGUCUAAAAAAAAUUGAGAGCAAAUUAAGUCUAAUUUAACUUGUGCUUCAAUUCGGAAUUUAAUCCCAACUUCAAGUGAACUGUGAACCGCCGAUUCAGGCUCGAAACCAACGAUUUUCGACCUGUGGACAUCACUAAUAUAAGCGACAACAAUUCCACUCCAUAUGGCAACGACAACGAUAAUAACGGCUGCAGCGGAAGCGCCGACAACAAAGGCGAAACUUCUCAUAGCUUCCAUAGUCAUUAUUAAAUUUUUAAUUGAAGCUACAUCGGGUGUUCAGGUCAACGGACUCAACAACAAUAUGGCAUUUUUCAUAUGGCUAAUGCUCUAGGGAGUAUCUCUCUUCUUGUCAAAACAAAAAAAAAAAUCAAUUUGUCUUGAUUUUUUUCUAUUGGAAUAUUGAUUAACGAUUUGCUAGUUUUCUUGUCUAAAUAGGAUAAUUAGGGUACUUGAUACUCGACUCAGAGCGAGUCGGAUUACGAUACUCGAUAUUUUAGACAUAUUUUGAAUUUAUUCUAAAAAAUAAAAUUUAGAGUAUUAUUAUGA